rnacentral:rRNA from 1 species
GCCAACAGUUGCCAGCAUGUCCUCCGGGAUGAUGGGGACACUGUUGGGACCGCCUCUGCUAAAGAGAGGAAGGAAUGGGCAACGGUAGGUCAGCAUGCCCCGAAUUAUCCGGGCUACACGCGGGCUACAAUGGUCAGGACAAUGGGUAUCGACACCGAGAGGUGGAGGCAAUCUCCUAAACCUGUCCUUAGUUCGGAUUGUGGGCUGCAACUCGCCCACAUGAAGCUGGAAUCCGUAGUAAUCGCGUUUCAAAAUAGCGCGGUGAAUAUGUCCCUGCUCCUU